GUGCUCGGCUUUGGCAGCACAUAUACUAAAAUUGGAACCAUACAGAGAUUAGCAUGGCCCCUACGCAAGGAUGACACGCAAAUUCGUGAAGUGUUUCAUAUUUUU
rnacentral:snRNA from 1 species